rnacentral:rRNA from 1 species
CACUCCUACGGGAGGCAGCAGUGGGGAAUUUUGGACAAUGGGCGAAAGCCUGAUCCAGCAAUGCCGCGUGAGUGAAGAAGGCCUUCGGGUUGUAAAGCUCUUUUGUCAGGGAAGAAACGGUGAAAGCUAAUAUCUUUUGCUAAUGACGGUACCUGAAGAAUAAGCACCGGCUAACUACGUGCCAGCAGCCGCGGUAAUACGUAGGGUGCAAGCGUUAAUCGGAAUUACUGGGCGUAAAGCGUGCGCAGGCGGUUUUGUAAGUCUGAUGUGAAAUCCCCGGGCUCAACCUGGGAAUUGCAUUGGAGACUGCAAGGCUAGAAUCUGGCAGAGGGGGGUAGAAUUCCACGUGUAGCAGUGAAAUGCGUAGAUAUGUGGAGGAACACCGAUGGCGAAGGCAGCCCCCUGGGUCAAGAUUGACGCUCAUGCACGAAAGCGUGGGGAGCAAACAGGAUUAGAAACCCAGUAGUCC